rnacentral:lncRNA from 1 species
CCCGAGCCCCCUGCUGCCUCCCAGAGCGAGGCUCUCCUCAUCGUGGACUCACCGCCCUCUGUGUGCCUCGUCCAUCACAUACAUCCUAAGUGUCCCUCCCAGCCUGUGAGCUUCUAGAAGGCAUUGCAACCCGGCACAGGAGCUGACACUUACAAAUAUUCAGGAACAAGCCAGGUCUUCCUCUGUCACCCAGGCUGCAGUGCAGUGGCGCAAUCAUGGCUCACCGCAGCCUCCACCUCCUGGGAUCAAGGGAUCCUCCCACCUCAGCACCCCGAGUAGCUGGGACCACAGGCGGACGCCACAGCAUCUGGCUGUUUGUAUAUUUUGUAGACAGGGUUUCACCAUGUUGGCCAGGCUGGUCUCGAAUUCCUGGGCUCAAAUGAUCCACCUGCCUCAGCCUCCCAAAGUGCUAGGAUUACAGGAGUGACCCACCGUGCCCAGCACCCCCUUUACCUCUGAGCAAUCCAUCUCUCUCCUUGGGGGCACCCCAUGAUCUAGACACCACCCACCUUGUUCUGCCUUGGCCAAAAUACCACCUAACUGCCCCCACCUAUGCCAGGUGCCCCUCACCCACCCUCCUCCACCCUUCGCUGAGUCCCACUUGGCUGGUGCCCAGGACAGGGACAGUCCCAGCCCUUCCAGCCCAUCUCCCCACAUCAGUACACUCCGGAGAGCCAGCCA